GGACUAUUGAUGACUCCAUAUUAUAGGUCUCAUUUGUUGUAAUGGCAGACCAUCCUGAUAUAUCACCACCCUAACCAAGUCU